rnacentral:rRNA from 1 species
GUGGACGCCAGUCUGCAUGGAGCCGACCUUGAAAUACCACCCUUUAAUGUUUGAUGUUCUAACGUGGACCCGUGAUCCGGGUUGCGGACAGUGUCUGGUGGGUAGUUUGACUGGGGCGGUCUCCUCCUAAAGAGUAACGGAGGAGCACGAAGGUUGGCUAAUCCUGGUCGGACAUCAGGAGGUUAGUGCAAUGGCAUAAGCCAGCUUGACUGCGAGCGUGACGGCGCGAGCAGGUGCGAAAGCAGGUCAUAGUGAUCCGGUGGUUCUGAAUGGAAGGGCCAUCGCUCAACGGAUAAAAGGUACUCCGGGGAUAACAGGCUGAUACCGCCCAAGAGUUCAUAUCGACGGCGGUGUUUGGCACCUCGAUGUCGGCUCAUCACAUCCUGGGGCUGAAGUAGGUCCCAAGGGUAUGGCUGUUCGCCAUUUAAAGUGGUACGCGAGCUGGGUUUAGAACGUCGUGAGACAGUUCGGUCCCUAUCUGCCGUGGGCGCUGGAGAACUGAGGGGGGCUGCUCCUAGUACGAGAGGACCGGAGUGGACGCAUCACUGGUGUUCGGGUUGUCAUGCCAAUGGCACUGCCCGGUAGCUAAAUGCGGAAGAGAUAAGUGCUGAAAGCAUCUAAGCACGAAACUUGCCCCGAGAUGAGUUCUCCCUGAGACUUAGAG